ACAUGCAGUCGAGCGGUAGAGAGAAGCUUGCUUCUCUUGAGAGCGGCGGACGGGUGAGUAAUGCCUAGGAAUCUGCCUGGUAGUGGGGGAUAACGUUCGGAAACGGACGCUAAUACCGCAUACGUCCUACGGGAGAAAGCAGGGGACCUUCGGGCCUUGCGCUAUCAGAUGAGCCUAGGUCGGAUUAGCUAGUUGGUGAGGUAAUGGCUCACCAAGGCGACGAUCCGUAACUGGUCUGAGAGGAUGAUCAGUCACACUGGAACUGAGACACGGUCCAGACUCCUACGGGAGGCAGCAGUGGGGAAUAUUGGACAAUGGGCGAAAGCCUGAUCCAGCCAUGCCGCGUGUGUGAAGAAGGUCUUCGGAUUGUAAAGCACUUUAAGUUGGGAGGAAGGGUUGUAGAUUAAUACUCUGCAAUUUUGACGUUACCGACAGAAUAAGCACCGGCUAACUCUGUGCCAGCAGCCGCGGUAAUACAGAGGGUGCAAGCGUUAAUCGGAAUUACUGGGCGUAAAGCGCGCGUAGGUGGUUUGUUAAGUUGGAUGUGAAAUCCCCGGGCUCAA
rnacentral:rRNA from 1 species